AUGCUUUUAUUUACCAUCAUGCAUACAAACAGCAACAAAUACACUCCGAGUACAGUGCUAAUCUGACAAAGAACUUUUAUAACUAUGUGCAGUUUAAGAAGAGACUAUCAAGUCAAUCAAGUCACAUAUUUACUUUUCCAUAAGUCAAUAACUUGACACAUUUGAUAAAGACCAAAUUAUCCAAGCUGUUUCUAAGAAUUUGGAUUAAUAUUGAAAACUGUUAUGAAUAUUCACUUAAGUCUAUUGCUCUUCCAAGUGGUUUCAAAUGAAUGCAAAUGAAAGUGUUUAAAUUUCUCCAGUAAGUAGAAACAAGUAGCAUUUUACUAAAUGUUGGUAAAAUAUGAACACAGUAUUACCCUUUCACUUACAUUAGAUCACAUAUAAAGAGAGAAAAAUAACCCAAACGUGAACUGCUUCUUUAAAGAAGCGUUGUCUAGGCAACAUUCAACACUCAGAGAAAGUAUUUUUCCUGAGAAAUUCUCUUCCCAUCACCAAUGACUGGCCAAAAUAUGAAAGCUCUCAUCCUGUCUUCAUCCUCAGCCCAAUUUUUAUCUGACUUACUUUGACUCUAAGCCUUUUCAUUUUCAGCUCACUUUUCCUGCUUAAGGUACCCAUCACAAUCUCUUUAGUUCUUCCAUACAUUAUUAGGAAAAGCUCACCUGUUUCCAUCUAAUUCUGUCUCUGUAUUCUGUCUCCAUAUAAGCUUUUUAGGACUUGCUAGCUAACCAGGCUGAGGAGUGGGUAAGAGAGGAGACAAGGCAGAGUUCUGUGACCUCUUUUACAGAGCAUCCUCUCAGGAAAUGCUGAGUAUAAAUGAACUACAACUCCUGAUCUUACAGGUGUUUUUGAACUACUUUUCUUUAAAAUAACAGGAGAAAGGUGGGAGAGUGAGGGUGAGGAGUACUGGCAAACACAAUGAAGCCUAGAAAAAGUCACAAAAUGACACAGAAGGUGGCCCACUCCUGCAAUGACCUUUAGGCCCAGCAACUGUCUGAAAACUUUUUGCCCACAUUGCCACGUGCUGAACAGGUAAAUAGAAGAGCCCCCAGAUAAAGCAAGACAUCUAGGUGGCAGUAAAUGGGUAACACUGAAAACAGCGUCCACACAGUGUAAAGGCAGUGCGAUACAAAGUUUCACUGUUAAGCUUAGAAAAGGUACAAGUCAGGGCCACGAACCGGCAGAUACUAAUUCAGGACAGCAUGGGAGCCAUGUGAAGGCAGAAGCAUGCCCACAGUCUUAAUCUCGAGGUGAGGAGACUAUCCAAACAGAAGAUGCUGAAAAGUCAGGAGGAAAGAAAUCAAAACACUGCGUACCCGGUGCAUUUGCUCAAGCACAGGCGAGAAGGGACUUAUUCCAGCCAGCUGCAUUUUCAAAAGCAAGGUUAGCCUGACUGGAAGCCAAAAGGCCUGGGAAUCUCCACUGGUUCCCUUAUUGGGCGACGUCGGGGUCUACGGAUUCCUUCACGAGACAGGUAGUAUUGCAGUGGGUUUGGCCACAGGUCCUCUUUGAUAAUCUCGGCGAUCCUGUCAGAUUCUGGAACGCUGUGGUCUGAGAACCAGGUGAAGAAGCUGCAGAUGAGGUCUCGGUUUCUGCGAAUGAAGGACUGGGGCUCAUGCCCACUCCGCCAUAUGAUUGGAGUGGAAAGAGACACCACUCGGCCGGAUGAUCUCACUUCAUAUUCUUUGACAAUCAGCUUGUUUCUGAAGUAGGGGUUUCUUCGGAAAAAGAACUUGAAUUUGCAGCCAGUCUUAGGAUGCCUCAGUUCCUUCACCUCCAGAUUGGUUAUGUACCUUAACAUCUCUGCAUCCUGACCCCUAAUCAUGGCGGACAACUGAGGGUGGUUGCGGAAGGCGGUCAUCCAGAAGCCUGGGAUAUUCUGAAUGAUGUAGUUCCUUCGCUCCAGAUAGUGUCGCCGCAUCCGCCCAAACUUCUGCUCCAGAUGUUGGAAGGCCCUGUCGGCCUGAGCAUUCACGGUGUCCAGUUCCAGCUGGAUGGCCUCCAGCGGGUUCGUGCGAAGAUCGAUGCCCAGGUGCCAAGGCCCUGCCUCCUCCUGCGCCUCCCUGGCUCCUCCACUAGCCUCCGGCAUCUCCAUUUCUUCACCCGCGGGCUUCUGCUCCACCUCCAUCACCUCCUCACUCCCUUGCAUCGCCACUUCUGACUGCUCUCGCGCUGCCACCGCGACGGUGGCCCGUUCAAUCUUCACGUCGUGGGCCCGGGCCUCCGCUCCCCGAGUUUCUAGGGCCUUCUCCGCAUCUUUCGGUGCCACGAACGCCGCCGCCGCGGGGCCCUCGACAACAGGCGGAGUCUCUCCUUGCCUAGCUGCGGCCACCCGCACCUGGGGGCCAAGGCCCGCGACACCCCGGGGCGCUGGGCUCCCCACGAUCCCCGCGCUGCCCUCACCUGUCACCGCCUUCUCGCCGAGCAGCGGACGCCAGCCUGGGGUCCCCGGGAUAGUGUCAGCAUCGCAGAGGCCGCGGUGGUCGGGCACAGGGGUCCCCUCGUCCGGCUCCCGGACGCUCAUGUCCGGUCCGGUCGCACAGACCUCAGUUUACAAACCCUCAGGGUCCACGCAGCCCCACCUCCGCCCCUCGCUGUUUCUAGGGC
ensembl:lncRNA Tspyl1 TSPY-like 1